AAAAACAGUCAGCCUAAUCUGGCCAUAAAAGCACAGCAAAGGUGCUGCUAGAGCGGAGGAACCAAAAAUUAGGGGCUUAUCUCUGAAUAAAAGUCUUUAUCUAAGAUUAAUAAAUUUAAAGAUGUAGAGAAGGGCAUCUCUCAGCCCUAGCCCGUCAGCUAACUUCGUAGGCAUUGAGAGGAGAAUGA
rfam:Trichodesmium erythraeum IMS101, complete genome.